GUCCAGGGAUGGGAAUCGAACCCACAGUGUUCCGCUUACCGGGCAGAUGCCAUGUCCACUCGGCUACCCUGGA